rnacentral:tRNA from 1 species
GGUUGUAGCUCAGUGGCAGAACACUUGCCUAGCAUGUAUGAAGCACUGGGUUCGAUCCUCAGCACCA